GAUGAACGCUGGCGGCGUGCCUAAUACAUGCAAGUCGAGCGAACAGAUGAGAAGCUUGCUUCUCUGAUGUUAGCGGCGGACGGGUGAGUAACACGUGGGUAACCUACCUAUAAGACUGGGAUAACUCCGGGAAACCGGGGCUAAUACCGGAUAAUAUUUUGAACCGCAUGGUUCAAUAGUGAAAGACGGUUUCGGCUGUCACUUAUAGAUGGACCCGCGCCGUAUUAGCUAGUUGGUAAGGUAACGGCUUACCAAGGCGACGAUACGUAGCCGACCUGAGAGGGUGAUCGGCCACACUGGAACUGAGACACGGUCCAGACUCCUACGGGAGGCAGCAGUAGGGAAUCUUCCGCAAUGGGCGAAAGCCUGACGGAGCAACGCCGCGUGAGUGAUGAAGGUCUUCGGAUCGUAAAACUCUGUUGUUAGGGAAGAACAAGUACCAUAGUAACUGAUGGUACCUUGACGGUACCUAACCAGAAAGCCACGGCUAACUACGUGCCAGCCGCCGCGGUAA
rnacentral:rRNA from 1 species